rnacentral:rRNA from 1 species
UACGGAGGGUGCAAGCGUUGUUCGGAAUCACUGGGCGUAAAGCGCGUGUAGGCGGCCUUUUAAGUCUGAUGUGAGAGCCCGGGGCUUACCCCCGGAAGUGCAUUGGAGACUGGAAGGCUAGAGUACCGGAGAGGAAGGUGGAAUUCCUGGUGUAGCGGUGAAAUGCGUAGAUAUCAGGAGGAACACCGGUGGCGAAGGCGGCCUUCUGGACGGCUACUGACGCUGAGACGCGAAAGCGUGGGGAGCAAACAGG